rnacentral:tRNA from 1 species
CUACGGACUUGAAAAUCCGUUGGCUUUAUUGACCGUGAGGGUUCAAGUCCCUCUACCCCCA